rnacentral:rRNA from 1 species
UACGUAGGGGGCCAGCGUUGCUCGGAAUUACUGGGCGUAAAGGGUUCGUAGGCGGUGUGGCAAGUCGGAAGUGAAACCUCCAGGCUUAACUUGGAGACUGCUCCCGAAACUGCCAUGCUAGAGUGCGGGAGAGGCCAGUGGAAUUGCAGGUGUAGCGGUGAAAUGCGUAGAUAUCUGCAGGAACACCCGUGGCGAAGGCGGCUGGCUGGGCCAAUACUGACGCUCAUGCACGAAAGCGUGGGGAGCAAACAGG